UGGGGAAUUUUGGACAAUGGGCGAAAGCCUGAUCCAGCAAUGCCGCGUGUGUGAAGAAGGCCUUCGGGUUGUAAAGCACUUUUGUCCGGAAAGAAAUCCUCUGGGUUAAUACCUCGGGGAGAUGACGGUACCGGAAGAAUAAGCACCGGCUAACUACGUGCCAGCAGCCGCGGUAAUACGUAGGGUGCAAGCGUUAAUCGGAAUUACUGGGCGUAAAGCGUGCGCAGGCGGUUUUGUAAGACGGAUGUGAAAUCCCCGGGCUUAACCUGGGAACUGCAUUCGUGACUGCAAGGCUAGAGUAUGGCAGAGGGGGGUAGAAUUCCACGUGUAGCAGUGAAAUGCGUAGAGAUGUGGAGGAAUACCGAUGGCGAAGGCAGCCCCCUGGGCCAAUACUGACGCUCAUGCACGAAAGCGUGGGGAGCAAACAGGAUUAGAUACCCUGGUAGUCCACGCCCUAAACGAUGUCAACUAGUUGUUGGGGAUUCAUUUCCUUAGUAACGUAGCUAACGCGUGAAGUUGACCGCCUGGGGAGUACGGUCGCAAGAUUAAAACUUAAAGGAAUUGACGGGGUCAUAGCUGUUUCCU
rnacentral:rRNA from 1 species